rnacentral:lncRNA from 1 species
UUGGGUAUUCCUGCUUGUAAUAACGCACAUCAGAAGGAGGGGAUGGACUCGGGCUGCGCCUCAGCUGCUGCUGCUGCGAGAGCAUGGAUCACUGAGCUAUUGCCAAACACUUUCUUGGCCGCUAAUAGCACUUUUUUAGCCUUCUUUGUGGGGCUUGUAGCAGGUAUUUAAAAACAGCAACGGGCGAAGCAGACGCGUCUUCCUCUCGCUCCCGAGACGCCUUUCUCUCCUCUACUGUCACUUUCGAAAAUCCGUUGUUUUCUUCACAGAAUGGACUUUUUAAGACGAGAAGUGAGUAUCCUGCGGAAUCAGAUGCAUCACUCUUGUGUAUGGUUUUCUAAAUUCAGGUCUCACUCGGCUCAUCCCCGUGUGUGUGUCUGCGUGUGAAAUACUGCACACUAAUAGGCAGAGCCGACCUCAUACAUUCAGUGCCUCGCGGAGGGCCACUGCGCGCUGUCACUUUAACAACCGGGAAUUAUCACCAACAUCCAGAUUUGGGGUUAAGAGUGUCUCAAACAGUAUAUAGAUACAUUUUCCGUCAAUAAAUCCACCCUGAAUCCAGCCUCCUCAGCCCAAAGGAUCCUGCCGUCUGAUUGACGUUUUUACCACAAAAUUAUACCAUGUCUGUCGGUGGAGGAGAAGAAACAUGUCGCCAUUCCAAAAUUAGCUAGCCAUCAACAUAAAACAGGAUAAGUCCACUGUGGUGUCAUCUCACAAGAGUAUUGAUUUGGGCAGACGUUCGGGAUAGAGAGCGGAUUUCC